rnacentral:rRNA from 1 species
GAUGAACGCUGGCGGCGUGCUUAACACAUGCAAGUCGAACGGAAAGGCGCUGCUUGCAGGGUACUCGAGUGGGGAACGGGUGAGUAACUCGUGGGUGAUCUGCCCUCCAAUUCGGGAUAAGCCGGUGAAACUGGGUCGAAUACCGGACAGGAGACAUUUUUAGCGGGAUGGUUGGAAAGUUUUUCGGGUGUUGGAUGGGCUCGCGACCUAUCAGCUUGUUGGGGGGGCAAUGUGGUACCAAGGCGGCGACGGGUAGCCGGCCUGAGAGGGUGGACGGCGACCCUGGCACCGACAGAAGGCCCAGACACCGACGGGAGGCAGCAGGGGGGAAUCUUGCCGAAGCGGCGCAAGCUUGAUGCAGAGAGGCCGCGUGGGGGAUGACUGUCUUCGGAUUGUAAACUCCUUUCGUUAGUGACGAAGCUUUUUGUGACGGUACCUAGACAAGAAGCAACGGCUAACUACGUG